rnacentral:rRNA from 1 species
UCUUUUAAUUGAAGGCUUGUAUGAAUGAUUGGACGAGAUAUAAACUGUCUCAUAAAAAUUUUUUUUAGAAUUUAAUUUUUUAGUUAAAAAGCUAAAAUAAAAUUAAAAGACGAGARGACCCCAUAGAUCUUAAUAUUUUUAUUUAUUAUUAUUAUUUAGUUUUUUUAUAAAUUAAUAAUUGAAAAUAUUUUGUUGGGGUGAUAUUGAAAUUUAGUAAACUUUCAAAAUUUAAUAMCAUUGAUUUAUGAAUUUAUGAUCCUUUAUUAUUGAUUAAAAAUUUAAGUUACCUUGGGGAUAACAGCGUAAUUAUUUUAGAGAGUUCAUAUCAAUAAAAUAGAUUGCGACCUCGAUGUUGGAUUAAGAUUAAUUUUGGGUGUAGUAGUC